GGAAAUGCUGCUGCUCAUGCAGUGAACAAAUCUUCCGGGAUGAUCGAACAUUACCUGUACAAACAACGAGUAUUUCGCCACUAGCGCGGGGAAGGCUACAGCUAUAGACUAAGGAGGCUGGACCAUGAAUACAGGCUGAUGUUGAGUAGCGGUGACUGUAAGACACAGCAUCAGACUUUGUAAGAACCUUAGCAGACUUGAUGUUCUUAGCAGCUGUAUGCACCCUAACAUUAGCUCCGAAGAGGAAUACCGAGGAGGAUGUCUUGUUCUGGGGUAGACCAAUGCAUCACUACGCGAUGAAUUAUGGUUGCAGUUUGGACACACCUGGAUCUCCAGAUAGCGACAAGAGUCAGUUGCAAAUGCCUACGGCAGUGAUAAUAUCCGGUCUACCCAUGGGAAGUAUAGCUGUAAAGAUGCAUCUUGUGCGUGAAGGUCGACAGCAGCGCCCUCCAAUGAUUGAAUGGGAAUAACAAAACACGUGUGGCUCUGGGUUCGGACUCCAGUGACCCUGCAUGAGGAUGUGCACAUGACUAUGAAGAACCAGGUCUAACGUCCACCCUCUACAACUGAAUCCUACUGAACAAAUGAAAAAUCCAGUUAACUCCUCCCCUCCUUUUUAGUUUCUUAAAGUUUCAACUUUUGAGUUUGGACGUUCUUGUGCAUAAGGAAAAAAUAGUGAUUUUCUAACAUAGUUUUUGAUUAGAAAACAUAUACCUUGUCAAAAGUGCGUUACUCAAAUUAGUAAAAAUUAUUUCAUAUUAAUAUAUUUGUACUAAUAUUUUUUGUUGUGACACAUAUUUCCCUUAA